rnacentral:rRNA from 1 species
UACGAAGGGGGCUAGCGUUGCUCGGAAUCGCUGGGCGUAAAGCGCACGUAGGCGGGUUGUUAAGUCAGGGGUGAAAUCCUGGAGCUCAACUCCAGAACUGCCUCUGAUACUGGCAAUCUUUGAGUCCGGGAGAGGUGGGUGGAACUGCGAGUGUAGAGGUGAAAUUCGUAGAUAUUCGCAAGAACACCAGUGGCGAAGGCGGCUCACUGGCCCGGUACUGACGCUGAGGUGCGAAAGCGUGGGGAGCAAACAGG